AGCGAACGCUGGCGGCAGGCCUAACACAUGCAAGUCGAACGGACCCUUCGGGGUUAGUGGCGGACGGGUGAGUAACACGUGGGAACGUGCCUUUUGGUUCGGAAUAGCUCCUGGAAACGGGCGGUAAUGCCGAAUGUGCCCUUUGGGGGAAAGAUUUAUCGCCAUUAGAGCGGCCCGCGUCUGAUUAGCUAGUUGGGGAGGUAAAGGCUCACCAAGGCGACGAUCAGUAGCUGGUCUGAGAGGAUGACCAGCCACAUUGGGACUGAGACACGGCCCAAACUCCUACGGGAGGCAGCAGUGGGGAAUCUUGCGCAAUGGGCGAAAGCCUGACGCAGCCAUGCCGCGUGAAUGAUGAAGGUCUUAGGAUUGUAAAAUUCUUUCACCGGGGACGAUAAUGACGGUACCCGGAGAAGAAGCCCCGGCUAACUUCGUGCCAGCCGCCGCUGUAAUAC
rnacentral:rRNA from 1 species